UACGAAGGGGGCUAGCGUUGCUCGGAAUCACUGGGCGUAAAGCGCACGUAGGCGGAUCUUUAAGUCAGGGGUGAAAUCCUGGAGCUCAACUCCAGAACUGCCUUUGAUACUGGGGAUCUCGAGUCCGGAAGAGGUGAGUGGAACUCCGAGUGUAGAGGUGAAAUUCGUAGAUAUUCGGAGGAACACCGGUGGCGAAGGCGGCUUCCUGGACCGACACUGACGCUGAGGCGCGAAAGCUAGGGGAGCAAACGGG
rnacentral:rRNA from 1 species